ACUUUUUGUAGCCGGUCGACCCUUGCCUAAUUCCUACUCGAUAUCACCGGCGAGACCUCCCGUAGGCGACUUAGUGAGAGCUCGAACCCAGCCUAGGAGGCUAACACGCAGUUCUUAGGCAUUUAGAAUGGAGAGCGAUCAGAAAGGCUGAUGACGUUCUUUCCAGAGGUACCCUCAGAGAGAAAAGACGCUCCGUCAUCGAAGGUUGAUCUCCAAAGACCCCCUCCUCAAAAACAUCUGCAGUGUUUUAGAACUUGCCAUAAAAAAAAAGAAACGAAAGUACAGCCCACUUGGACAUCAUUCUCAAGGACAGCAUGUCAUUAACGAAAUAGAAAGUGAACUAUGCCCCCUCAUGCUGCAAGCAAGCGCGAGUGUGAGGCGCUAUGACGUAUGGGCGAUUGCAGCAGUACAAUGGCCCCUAUCUUCCACCAGAGAGCCACCUAGUGAGAAACUGUUCACAUCUCUGGACAAGAAGUGACGAGAAUGGGAAGCAAUGGCUUUGGUAAUUGAGAUAACAAAUCAGAAGCACAGAUGAGAUCAGAAAUAAACUUCACGUUUAUGCUGUCACCGAAGGAAGUCAGGACAGGAACUCAAGCAGGGCUGGCUGGCACCUGGAGGCAGGAACC
rnacentral:lncRNA from 1 species